ACAAAAAAACCAAACAAAGCCUGAAAGACAAACAGGAUUUUGUAGUUUGUACAGCCACGAGUCUCAAGGAUUCAUAAAAGUUGUUUACUUAACGCUCUAGCUAAAAUAAUGAAAACACGUAACUGAAAGCCUAGGUCACCAUUUUCUUCACUGUUUUCUUUUUCAGGACUGUACCCACUACAGUAGUUACUAGAGUUUUGGACUGAAGCAUUCCCUGAUUCCAGGCUUUCGGAUCAGCUUCUAGCCCCAGAUGCCACUCCUAUGCUCUGCCAUCAUGGGCUCUCUCCCACUGGAACUGAAAGCUCAACUAAGCUCUUUCUUCUGUAUCCCAAGAAGAGUUUCAACAGCACACCCCAUUAACCUUGGAAUUUGCUCAGCUGUCUAGUCUUUUGUUCGGUCGUCUGAUAUCAACUUGAAGAUGGGUAGUUAUGAAGUCCAGUUAGGAAAUGAUUGCAGGGGUUCUGGUGACAAAUUAUAGUAAAUUAAAUUUCCACCAACAUAAGAAAGCUGGAGGCAGGAAAUAUCUUUUCUAUAUCAUGGGAAGUGAUUUUCAAAUGGGCAUGAUUAUUGCCUCCCUCUAGAGAACACUUGACCAUGUCUAAAGAAAGUUUUUCUUGCUGGGUGGUGGUGGCCCAUGCCUUUAAUCCCAGCACUUGGGAGGCAGAGGCAGGCAGAUUUCUGUGAGUUCGA